ensembl:lncRNA
CUGCAAACUGUGGCCUGUGUGGGAGAGGAGAGAGGGAGAUGGACGGAUAAGAUACUGUUUGUCGGUCUCUUUGCUUUAUCUUUAUUUUUUGUAUCUCUUUCUUUGUUAGACUUUCUCUUUUCUCUUCUUUCUGCAGAGGAUAUGAAAUCACAGCCACCUCUACCCGUCUUUUGAGUGUCCUCCGGUGAGGAGCCUUGAUGUUAGCGCGGAGCCGCACUCCGUGAGUUCAGCAGCAGAGGUGGUGGCUAAAGCUUCUGGACGUCACGUGUCUGAAAGAGAAGACUUAUUUAACGGAAGCUCCCCCUCUCCUCUCUGCUCCACUCUGCCUGCUCCUCUCUACCGCCUUUCUCUCCCCUCCUCUCUCUCCUCUCUCUCUUCUCCUCCUCCCCUGCAGACUGUGGAUGGGGAGGUGUUUGAAUGUCUGCUGGCACAGUGGUCAUCGCUGGAGGGAUCCUGGCUGCAGUCAUCCUACUUACCAUCGUAGCUGUGCUGUGUAUAUGUAGACUGCAGUAUUACUGCGGCAAGGGGGGGGAGUCAGAGAAGGAGGAGGAAGAGGAGGAGGAGGAGGAGGAGGAGGAAGGGGAGGAGCAAAGGCUGGUGGACAUGUAUCCGCCUCGCCCCUUGGCCCUGCCUCCACCCCCGACCCCACCCAUCCAGGACCAUUACAGCGACCGCACAGAUUCAGACAUCUACCCCCCUACGUUCCUUACGGAGCCAGACGGCCCCGCCAGCCCCUCCCCCCUUUCCCCCACCCCUCCACCACC